AUUGAACGCUGGCGGCAGGCCUAACACAUGCAAGUCGAACGGUAACAGGAAGAAGCUUGCUUCUUUGCUGACGAGUGGCGGACGGGUGUGUAAUGUCUGGGAAACUGCCUGAUGGAGGGGGAUAACUACUGGAAACGGUAGCUAAUACCGCAUAACGUCGCAAGCCCAAAGAGGGGGACCUUCUGGCCUCUUGCCAUCGGAUGUGCCCAGAUGGGAUUAGCUAGUAGGUGGGGUAACGGCUCACCUAGGCGACGGUCCCUAGCUGGUCUGGGAGGAUGACCAGCCACGCUGGAACUGAGAAACGGUCCAGACUCCUACGGGAGGCAGCAGUGGGGAAUAUUGCACAAUGGGGGCAAGCCUGAUGCAGCAAGGCCGCGUGUAUGAAGAAGGCCUUCGGGUUGUAAAGUACUUUCAGAGGGGAGGAAGGGAGUAAAGUUAAUACCUUUGCUCAUUGACGUUACCCGCAGAAGAAGCACCGGCUAAUUCCGG
rnacentral:rRNA from 1 species